CGGCGCUUGCGCGUCCCGCCGGCGACCGGCGCACGGGUGAGUAACACGUAUGCAACCUGCCCCCGCCAGGGGUACAACCCUCCGAAAGGGGGGCUGAUACCGCGUACAUCCCCUGGGGGCAUCCCCGGGGGAGGAAAGCCCUUUUGGGCGGGCGGGGAUGGGCAUGCGGCGCAUUAGGAAGACGGCGGUGUGACGGACCACCGUUCCGACGAUGCGUAGGGGUUCUGAGAGGAAGGUCCCCCACACUGGUACUGAGACACGGACCAGACUCCUACGGGAGGCAGCAG
rnacentral:rRNA from 1 species